rnacentral:rRNA from 1 species
GAUCCUGGCUCAGAUUGAACGCUGGCGGCAGGCCUAACACAUGCAAGUCGAGCGCGAAAAUUCCUUCGGGAAUGAGUAGAGCGGCGGACGGGUGAGUAACGCGUAGGAAUCUCGCCCGGUAGGUGGGGGACGAACAGUCGGAAACGACUGCUAAUACCGCAUACGCCCUAAGGGGGAAAGCAGGGGAUCUGCGGACCUUGCGCUAUCGGAUGAGCCUGCGUCGGAUUAGCUUGUUGGUGGGGUAAGUGGCCUACCAAGGCGACGAUCCGUAGCUGGUCUGAGAGGAUGAUCAGCCACACUGGGACUGAGACACGGCCCAGACUCCUACGGGAGGCAGCAGGUGGGGAAUAUUGGACAAUGGGGGAAACCCUGAUCCAGCCAUGCCGCGUGUGUGAAGAAGGCCUUCGGGUUGUAAAGCACUUUCAGUAGGGAGGAAAAGUUGAUGGCUAAUACCCAUCAGCCCUGACGUUACCUACAGAAGAAGCACCGGCAAACUCCGUG